AAGAUCUCAAACUUUGUCUCUAUCUCUCUUUAACCUUACCUUCUUUUCAUUGAAUCAAUGAGAAUGAUGAAGAUUAACAUGGUGUCAUAGCUCAGAUCCGUGUUCAUCUAGUGUUACACUUCUGAUCGAUUCUACCCUCGCAAGUUUUUGUUGAUUUUUUCGAAGUUCAACAGUGUUUGUCGAUUCAGUGAUAUUUUCGGUUGAUUCUUAUAUUUCCGGUGGGUUUUCUUUGUGCAAUGGAGUUUUUCGGUGUUAAAUCUGAAGGUUUGAUCGAUAUUCUUCAGGAUUUGACCGCUUGUUCGAGCUAGGGUUUUGAGCUAGGAUUUCGAGCUAAGGUUUUCUCCUUCGAUUUUCCUUAACAUUGAAGGUCGUUCUCUUUCCGUUUUUUCGAAAGAGGCUGGUAUACCUAUUCUAUUUUUCCUCUAUUCCGGUUAUAUAGUUGUUUGUUAUUCUCAUUAUUUUAGCUGAUUUUUUUAAUUUGUUGCCAAUAUGACAGAGCUGUAAUUUUGAUCCCACUAAAACCCCUGCAUCUUCUACUGGUUCCCGUACUGUGUUUUACGAGGACGAUUAUACCCAUCCAUGUCACCCCUUAUAUGUUAAUCCUUAUGAUGUACUUGGGACUUCUCUGGUCUCCGCUCCUUCUGAUGGAACAUGUUAUGGUAGUUCGAGACGUACUGUGUUUGUUGCUUUGUCUAUUAUAAAUAAAACUGAUUUUAUAACUGGUGCUAAUAGAUCAACCUUAGCUAGACAAUGGCAAAAGUGCAAUAAUCUUGUAAUAUCUUGGCUGGUAAACUCCUUGUCUAAAGAUAUUGCUUGAAGUGUAGAAUAUUCAGAAUGCUAAAGAUAUAUGGAAUGAAUUAGAAGAGAGAUAUAGUAAAGCUGAUGGUACCAAAGUCUUUGAGUUUAAAAAGGAACUGCCUAUAUCUCUCAAGGCUCACUCGAUAUAGCAUCCUAUUUCUAUAAGAUAAAAUAGUUGUGGGAUGAAAUUACCUCCAUCUCAGCUGGUAGGGCAAGAGUUUGUACUUGUAGGGCUAUCAAUUCCUUAUGGGUCUAAAUGAAACUUAUGUUCAAACCAGGAGUAACAUCUUAAUGAUGAAGCCUCUUCUUUCUGUUGGUACAGUCUAUAGUAUUCUCUUGUCUGAUGAGAAGCAGAGGCGGGUAUUUGUUAGGACUCAAUUUCCCUCUAAUUCUGCUUCCUUCACUAAUGCUGUGCUGAACCCUACACCAACUCACAAUGUUGUUGUGUCAAAGCCUAAUUUCCCUUCCAAGGUCUUUUUUAAGUCUACUAGGUCUUCUGGGGUAUGCAAAUACUGCCAAAACCUGGUCACAAUAUUGACAUAUGCUAUAAGUCGCAUGGUUUUCCUCCAAAUUUUAGACCUACAAAGAAUUUGGGCCUCAAAAGGUCAGUUGCUCAUGUUGAGCUUGAAUCCAACACAAUGCCUAGUAUUUCUAUUAUGGAGUGUGGUGUUGAUGUGUCUCAAUCUCACUGUCAAACUUCCUUUGUUGUGCCUGGCCUUCCCAAGUACCAGUAUUCCCAACUAAUGAUGUUACUUCAACAAGCCUAAAUCACUGCUUCCCCUCCUGGUUCCAACCUCAUAGGGUCUACCAACUUUGCUGGUAGAGAGUGCCUUAUGGAGCUUGUAUGAUGAGUAAAGUAGAUGGAAUAGUUUGGAUAAUAGAUUCAGGAGCAUCUGAUCAUAUGACCUCCAUUAAAAGAUUGCUUUUAAUAUACAAACUUUACUUGUUCCUUAUUUAGUCUCUCUUCCCAAUGGCAAUAAAGUCAAAGUUACUAAUAUUGGCUUUGUAGUCUUAUUUCUUGAUCUUAUUCUUCACAAUAUUCUUUACAUUCCUAGUUUCCAAUAUAAGCUCAUUAGUGUUCAUAAAAUGUUAUGUCAUUAUGCUGAUAUUGUACAGUUUAUCAAGGCUGCUUGCACUCUACAAGGCCCUUCACUGAAGAAGCCAGUGGUCCUUGGUAGGUUGGAUAAUGGUCUUUACAAACUCUUCCAACAAGCUACUUCUGCUGGAAAAUAGUUUUUCGUUCCAAUUUCUCUAUUGUGUUAAUGCUUCUAAUUCCGUUUCUUGUUCUUUUCCUGCAAUUAGUGAUACAUCCUCUGUAAAUACCAUUGAUGUACCUAAUAAAGUCAACAAUGAUGAUGUUGCUUAGUACUAUAGACUGGACAUGUUACCUUCUCUAAAAUGAAACAUAUGAAUAAUAUUGGCUAUAUUUUUUCUUCUUAACAAUUUUUUACUUGUCUUAUAUGUCCUUUAGCAAGACAAACAAGAUUGCCUUUCCAUCACAGUUCUAUACAAACUACUAAAGCAUUUCAAUUUAUUCACACAGAUACCUGGGGUCCAUAUUUUACACCUACCUAUACUGGCUCUAUGUAUUUUCUAACCAUUAUUGAUGACUAUACUAGAGCCACUUGGACUCAUAUCAUGGGUGCCAAGAGCAAUACUUUUGAUCUUCUCAAAACUUUUAUUGCCAUGGUUGAAACUCAGUGUAAGUCUGUAGUCCUAAUAGUUAGAAGUAAUAACGCCCUUGAAUUGGGCUCCAGUAUUGCAGGUUCUGCCUAUUUCUCCAGUAAAGUAAUUAUUCGUCAAACUUCAUAUCCAUACACUCCACAAUAAAAUGAAGUGGUGAGAGAAAAUAUAAACAUUUACUUGAGACAACUAGAGUUGUUCUCUUUCAAUCUCAUCUUCCCAUUCCUUUCUAGGCAUAUUGUAUUCUUACUGCCACAUACUUUGUCAAUAGGUUGCCUUCCAUUUUACUUCUUGGGAAAACUCCUUAUAAAAUGUUGUUUGGAUCUGUUCUUGCAUAUUCUCAUCUUAGAGCUUUUUUGUGUCUUUGUUACUCUAUUGAUACCAAACCGCUUAAAAACAAAUUUCAUCCUAUGUCUAUUCCAUGUGUCUUUAUAGGAUAUCCUUUUGCUAAGAAAGGAUACAAAUUAUAUAAUCUCUCUAGAAAAGCAGUAUUCAUCUCAAAGGGAUGUUAUUUUUAAGGAACACAUUUUCUCUUUCCUUAGUUCAUCUGUUGGUUACCUAAUUUCCUUUCUCCUUUAUCUUCAGACACUUGUGAUCCUUAUCCUCUCCCUCCCUUUCUCCUUCAUCUUCCUCUUCUCCGUCUUCUCCUUCUUCCCUUGAACCUUCCUCCCCUAUUCUUUCUUCUCCUUCUUAUUCUGGUUCUCCUUCACCUUCCUGCAAUCCUCCUAUUUCUUCCUCUCCUACUUCUGAUCUUCAUUUGCGAAGAUCUCCCGGACCUCAUAAUCCUCCUACUUAUCUUAAAGACUUUUUCUGGCAUUCAUCUUCUCUCAUUCUUCUAUCCAGUCAUGAUGGUCCUUCUAUUACUCAGCUUCAUAUUCCCGAACCUCACUCCUACUCCCAAGCAGCAAUUGUCCCUGAGUGGCAAGAUGCUAUGAGGAAGGAAUUUGAGGCCUUGGAAGCUAACAAAACUUUAGAAAUUGUUCAGCUGUCCCAUAGCAAAAAGCCUAUUGGUUGCAAAUAUAUUUACAAGGUAAAGUAUAAAGUUGAUGGGAAUAUAGAGAGGUAUAAGGCUAGAUUAGUUGUAAGCGGUAAUACUCACAUGGAGGGUGUUGAUUUCCAAGACAUUCUCUCAUGUUGUCAAAAUGUCUAUAUAGGCCGAGGCAGCCUUCUAGGCAGUGGUAUGCUAAGUUAUCUCAAGCCUUACAUUCUAGGGGUUAUACACAUUUCCUCAAUAACUACUCUUUGUUCACUAAGGGUUCUGGGAACUCUAUGGUUAUUUUGGUUGUCUAUGUGGAUGAUAUUAACUGGAACUGAUGAGUCCAAAACUUUUUCUCUUAAGGCUUUCUUGGAUCUUCAUUUUAAAAUAAAGACCUUGGCUCUCUUAAUUACUUUCUUGGGAUCAUACAUCUUCUAGGGUUCUCUUGCAUCAGAAGAAGUUUAUAUAUGAUCUUUUAGCUGUUUUUAACUCUUAUGAUUGCUCUUCUGGUUCUUGUCCCCUUGAGUUAAAUGUGAAGGUAAAGGCUAAAGAGGGGGAUUCUCUCCCUAAUCCUGAGAAUUAUAGAAGCCUCAUUGAUAAGCUCAGUUUACUCACCCACACCAUACUUGACCUCAGUUUUCUUAUGCAAUAUCUCAAUCAGUUCAUGCAACAACCCUGCUUUCCUCACAUAAAGGCAACUUUGCUCCUGUUAAGGUAUCUCAGAGGGACUUUUGAUUUGGCCUAUUCUUCUCCGAUUAUUAUGAUCUCUCUUUGCAGGCUUAUUGUGAUAGUGAUUGAGGAUCUUGCCCUGAUAACGGAAGAUCUGUUUCUGGUUUAUAUAUUUUUCUUGGUGGCAGUCUCAUUGGGUGGAAAUCCAAGAAAUAAGCAGUGGUCUCUUUGUGUUUAGCUGAAGUUGAGUAUAGAUCUAUGAGCAAGGUUGUGACAGAAAUUACUUGGGUAUGUAGGCUCCUAUCUGAUCUUGGGUUAUCUUCUGAUUCUCUUGUUCCUCUAUAUUGUGACAGAAUUUCGGCCAUUUAUAUUGCUCACAAUCUGGUUUUCCAUGAGCGGACCAAACACAUUGAGUUGGAUUACCAUUUUGUUCGUACCAAGCCUGCUGACGGUCUCAUUAGUUUGUCUCACACUUCUAGUGCUUCUCUUACGUUAUAUACGUAAUGUAAUAUGGUUAUAUUAGGUACAUAUGAUUAGGUAUAACAUCACACUUGUCACAUGUUAUGUUUUGGAGUCAAAGCACGUUGCAAAAUAAAGGCCGACAAAAGUUAUCGUAAAUUUCUAUAAUAAAUUUUCUAAAUUUUGGGUCAAAUGUAUCAGAUCAUUUCUCCUAAUAUAUAAUGCGUUAUAAGACCCACAACCUAUCAAAUCGAAGCACUACGAGUCUAAUUUUCAAUCAAAAAAACCUCACAUCAAACGGACAUCGGAGUAAAACGUUAUGACUGUUUUACCCCGGACUGUCAAGGCUGAAACCGGGUCACGAACCGGGUCGGGUCAAACAAGUGGUAUAAGUCGGUAAACUCGACUUUGAAGCCCUCAUAAACAAAUGGUAUAAGUCGGUAACCAGUAAUAGGAAGUCUGUCCCUCCUUUUAGCACGAAUUCUGGGGAAUUCCUAAGACGUCAAAUGUGAUAUUUUACUAUUCCAUUGCUAGAAAGACCUUAUGUAAAAGGCAUUGGGAUCAUAGCUGAAGUGUUUUCAUGAUGCUAUUAGGUUGAUAGUCCACUCAUUCGGUUAAAUAUGGUAUUUGAUAUCUAUAUAUGUCAUUUUGUCGACUUUCUUAACUAUGUCUAUAUAUAUGAAUUUUUAUUCGUCUUUGGGUAGUGUAACUAAAAAAAAUAAAGGCAUUUAGUAUUUGCGAUCAGUCAUUCUUCCUUGUUAAAGUGUAUUUUAAAAUCUCUGAAGUGACAUGUCGAUUUCCAAUAAUCUCAAAUAUAAAUUUUUAUUUAAACUACUAAAACACUUGAUUUUUGGAUAUACUUUCUUUUAUUAAAUAACAAGAAAUCAGAUAUAAGGACUAAGUGAAGCACCUUAAGCUUUUUAUGAACAUCUUCUGAGUUGAGUUAUCUCUCUAAAAGUCGAGUUAAGUUUUCAAGCUUAUUCAAAAGAAAAGAAAACAUAUGAGGUUCCACGAGACAACUGUAUGCGAUACGAAGGUGAUUAUGAGAUCAUGGGAAUAAGAGUACCUAUGAGCCAAGAUUGGCUAAGUUCUUGUUAUGGCCUAUUAUGAGCAUUCAAAGUUCAUAUCAUACAUGGUAUAUUAUGCAUGGACUUCAAGCUAUAAUCGGAGGCAAGGGGCCUAUUUGCCCGAAAAUCUUAUAUUGUACAGAUGGCCACAAGUUGGCAAUAUGAUACCGGUUAGCUACCGAAAGAGACCGUCGCUGCUAGCAUUUGAUUGGGUAUAUCAUGUAUUUUCAUCAAUAUAUGUAUUCACGACAUAUGAUUACACGAGCAUACUACACAUAUUUAAUUAUUAUGAGGUCAUAUGUCAUCCAUGGAGGCUAUCAGAGUUUCAGUGUCAGGUGGUAUCUCUAUUAUUUUUUUCAUCAUCUAUAUGUGAUUCUACUUUCUGCCUUACAUACCAGUACAUUUUUAUUCGUACUGAUGCCCCGUUGCCUGGGGACACUGCAUUUUUGUUUCGUGCGUGCAGGUCCAGGCAGGGACUUUGAUCGACCCCUCCGCUAGGAUUUCCAAGUUCAGCUGUGAGUUGGUAAGCUCCACCUCUUCCUGAAGCUGUCAUAGGAUGACUACUUUUGUUGUACAGUUUAGGUAUAGUCGGGGCCUUGUCUCGACAGUGCUUGUGACGCUCUUAGAGGCUAUUGUGGACAUAGUAUUUUUUGCAGCUUUCAGUCUCCAGCCCAUAAGCUUGGCACGUAUACAUAGGUGUGUAGGCAUGUAUGUCUCCAAUCGCGGCCUUGUCAACCAGCUAGUACUUUAUUAUUUUGGCUCGUCUACUUUUGGUUAUAUGGCUUAUUAUUAUUCAGGUCAUGACCUUUAUGGUCUAGGCUUAGUAUUUCAGAUGUUGUGCUGCCCGAUCUGUUGGGCCCCCAGUUUAGUUAGCUAGUAUAUUUAGUGGCUAACUCGGACAAAUACAGUAUCGAGGGCCAG
rnacentral:lncRNA from 1 species